CCUCCUCCUGUGUUCUAGAAGCAAUCUGCUUCCAAUUCUAAGAGUUCAGCGGUGUUACGGGCAAAGAAAUUGCCUGCCCUACCUCGUGUAUGCCUGUUUGGCCCUUCAGCAUCCCUGUGUCACAGCUUUUCAUGCUCUACCAUGAAUGCUAAGGCAGGACCAGGAGAUUCAGCGUGCUGUUGGAAUAUAAGAGGCCUCCCUCUCGACAUGCCAAUUCUCUGAGUUCUUGUUCUUUACACACCCUUUGCUAGCCACUGCUUCUCAGUGAAUGAAGGCAAAAGCCUGCCUUCCUUCCAUCUUCCCUCUUCAGUUACCUUGUGAGGGGAAGAGGAAGUUCUUCCUUACUGUGCUGCCCACAGCUCUAUCCUGGCAUGAUGAAAAUGGGAUCUGUGACUGUUCAGGCCUCUUCAUCCUUCUGACUAAGCCUUGUCUCUGCAGUGACUGUGUCAAACUUAGGAAAAUCAAGGAAGACUUACAGCAAAACCUUCUAAUAACAGAACAGGCUCAGCUGCUAAUGCCUCAGUUAGCUUGAAACUUUGCUUUUACUUAGCCAGUCGAGCUGGUUUCUUUCUAGCCUUGCCAUUCUUGUUCACUGCCUUGCCAGUCUCACCAUCUCUGUGCUCUGCUGCUUUCUCUCUUUCUCUGCUAACUAAGCCUUGUCUCUGCUGUGACUGUGCCAAGCUUAGGAAAGUCAAGGAGGACCUACAGCAAAAUCUAAGAAAGAAUCAAGAAGCCUAGCAUCUUCCUCAGCAUAAGAUUGAACUGCAGCUGAAGGAAAAGGUGGAGCAGCAACAGGCACUGGAGAGAGCGCAUUGUAACCAUGGGCUCCUGCUGAAGGACUUUGCUGCACUUGAAGAAAAACAUUCAUUACUACAGAGAGAGUUGUUAAUUGUGAAGGAGGCACUGGAGAAAUCACUCCUUCAGAGGAAUCAGCUGAUGCAGGACAAGAAUGAGCUUAUUGUGGCACUGAAGAAGGUAGAGUCACCUUAUGGGAGAAGGAGAUAUGACAGCCAGAUCAUCACAGGUGCUGUUUCUGGCAGUUGAAGGCAGGGAAAAUGUUCUUCUCCUUGGAAAAUGGUGGUCAGAGCACACAGGCUCUUUGGGUAGUUGGUCCCCACGUUGUGACUGGGAGAGCUGAACUGGCAGCAUGUCAGAGACACCCAGGGGAUGCGGAGCUGCUCCUUGAAGGGGAGGAUUUUCCUGUCCCAGCCAAACGUCCUACAGAGGAUACAAGUCCCAGAGCUCUCUGGGUGGGCAUUUGGCUGCUUGGCUCAGUGAAGCUGCAUCUGUUGGAUUCUGCUGUGGUUUUGUCAAGGAGAUGCUUGGUAGUGCUGGAGGUCACAAGGCUUUGGUUACUUCUUCUUGGAAAUGUGUUGGUGGCUUGCAGAGCUGUUGUGCACUUCUCUCAGUUGUCCUCUGCUUCUAUGGAUUCUUUUAACCUGCCUGUCUGCAUUGACCUCUGUUUUGGAUUUUGAUUAGCUGCAAAGAGGUGAUUGUGUUGUCCAUGAAUCUGAGUGGGGCUGCUACUCUCCCGUGUGGCAAAAGAAACAAACCCUGUAGCUCUGAAUUCCCACAAGAGCCGACACCCCUCUGAAGGCCCACAAGGGCUGUUUCCUUGCCAAGUUGUUUCCCUCCUUGCAUCCAACUGCUUUACACACUGAAGUAGUGUUAGAUGGCAGUGAGAGCAGAAUCAGCAUUGCCUCCACUGCCAGUACUGAGUGUCCUGAGUCUAGCUUCACCCUGUCUUCUAUGAGCUCCACUGAGGUAGAGUGUGCCUUUAAAGUAUGCAAGGAACAACCAGCCAAGAGGCAAGAGGUAACACAGCAUGAACAGGACAGGCUGCAAGCAAUGAAGGCAAAAGCUUUGCAGGAGACUCUCACUUACAUGACCAGCAUCCCAUCAGAGAGGGUGAGAGAAACAGGAACAGACGAGAAUUCCAGAAAAGUGGAAAGAAAUGCAUGAAACUGCUCUCAACCAGGUUAUUAAUGACAUAACAGAUCAAAACCCGGAGUCACUACAAAAGUAAAACCAGGAAGCUGGAGACGCCACAGAAAUGCUGUUAAGGGCUGUUCGUGAGCAUGUGGAACAGACCUUAGAAAACUUAAAAGGAAAGGACAGACUCCUAGCCAUCCAAAGGCAACAAACAAGGAGCUAUGAGGAGAAAACAGAAGAACAGCUGAAUGUCUUGCACAAAGACUUAAAAUAUGCUAAGGCAGUACUGAAAGAAAAGGAUAUUGUGAUCAAAUCUCAGAAGGAAGUGAUUGAGACCUUCCAAAACCAAGAACAAGACUCUGAACAGCAGAAGAAAAUUCUCCAACAACUUGUGACACUAAAGGAAAAAGAUCAAGAAAUUGUACCCCUUAGGAAGCAAUGCGAGGCAUGCAGGGAAAAGGAGGAAAAGCAUGGAGCUGAGCAAAAAAACCUGCAAGCAACAAAACGGACUCUGAAAGAGAGAGAAAAGAAGCAGGCUACUGCAGAAGGAGUGCAGCAAUCGUGGCUCUUGGAGAAGAAGCUCCUGUCGCAGCAGCUGGAAAACUUGCAGCAAGAAGUUGCAAGGCUGAAACUUACCAACACUGAGCUGAAGAAAUUCAGUGCUGAACUCAAGAAGACUCUUGAGGAGGUGAAACAGGGUUUCACUGCCCAUGCUAAGCCUCACAGUCUUCUGGAGCACCACACGUCUCCACAGACAGCAGUUUGGGGUCCUUGGCUUGUUCCCUCUCCCACUCUCCCCUUGGACACACCCUUUUGUGUUUUCCUUCUCUUCUGGCACCUUAUUUGCCUUCACAAAUGCACAUUCACUCCAGUACCACCCUUCCUGCCCCGGUGUCCCCAUACACACACAUUGGACUCUCAUGUGUCAGGAAGUGUUUCCUCUUGCUCUUUCUUGUCCAUAGUCUACACUGAGUGCUUUUUUGCUGCCAACAUUUUCGCCCAAGAGGCCCUUUUGCUCCUUGUUUGGUGGCAGGUUUCUGUGAACCUUUCUCCUAUCCAACGUGCAGGUGGAAUGUCAAUGGAGGAAACUGAUGAGGCUCCACUGUGAUCAGUCGCUGCCAGGUGCAAAUGGAUCUUCCUUCUCCAAGCCUCACCGGCACAAGAUGCCUGCUUCUAGACAGGAGGAGUCCUAUGAACACUGCAGGCAUCAAUGACCUGACUAUUACUGCAGAAAGCUCUCACUUCUUGAGCAGCUGCAGCACUCCGUGGUUCCUGUCCUGUACCCUUCCCAGAACCAUCCUCUUUUACUGCUGUGGGACAGAGGGGUGGGUUUGUUCUCUUGACAUUUAGAAGUAGUUUACAUAUGGGCAGGGACUCCUAACUUUCCUGUUUUGUUUCUUAAUAAAAGACAUUCUGCAAUC